rnacentral:lncRNA from 1 species
AUACUGUUGAAGAGGCAGUUCCCCAACCAACACACUGGAGCUGAAGGUGAAGCUCUGAUCUCUCCUGGACUCCCCUGGACAGCUAGCAAGCAGUCACUUUUAAUUCCACCAUAGAAGGAGCUCUGAAGUUUCUAAAAGAAGCACUGGGCAGCAUAUAAAGAAAUCCCAUAUGCGAUGUGGUACAGAAACUGGAUAGGCCAAAAUAUCAAUGGGAUAUAGGGAGAUGCAUCUCCCCCUAGAAUAGUAAGAUUAGGUAAGCUUCCCAACUGAAAGGUAUCCAAACAGCACAAAACCCUCCAGGAUCAGAAGCAAGAAAGCACACCCUAAAGCUGUAAGCUCUAGAAGGCUCUGUGGAAAUGGAAGCUGUUUGAGGAAUUUGAAAUGGAAAGAAGGAAGGAAAUAAGGAUUUAUUUAAAACUAUGUACCAGACACUUAAUAAAUAUAACUUCACUUGAUCUUCACCACAGCUCCUGGGGAGAUGAGAAAACUGAGGCUGGUAUGGUG